rnacentral:rRNA from 1 species
GAUGAACGCUGGCGGCGUGCCUAAUACAUGCAAGUCGAGCGAACGGACGAGAAGCUUGCUUCUCUGAUGUUAGCGGCGGACGGGUGAUUAACACGUGGAUAACCUACCUAUAAGACUGGGAUAACUUCGGGAAACCGGAGCUAAUACCGGAUGAUAUUUUGAACCGCAUGGUUCAAAAGUGAAAGACGUUCUUGCUGUCACUUAUAGAUGUAUCCGCGCUGCAUUAGCUAGUUGGUAAGGUAACGGCUUACCAAGGCAACGAUGCAUAGCCGACCUGAGAGGGUGAUCGGCCACACUGGAACUGAGACACGGUCCAGACUCCUACGGGAGGCAGCAGUAGGGAAUCUUCCGCAAUGGGCGAAAGCCUGACGGAGCAACGCCGCGUGAGUGAUGAAGGUCUUCGGAUCGUAAAACUCUGUUAUUAGGGAAGAACAUAUGUGUAAGUAACUGUGCACAUCUUGACGGUACCUAAUCAGAAAGCCACGGCUAACUACGUG